UCAUAACGAUUUUGUGAGGAAGAAAAUUUGUUUCUUCAUACUAUGAAGAAAAAUGAAUUUUUUGCAAAACGAAAUAAAAAAGAAAAUGUAUAAUAUGAAGAACAAACAUAAAAUUGUAAAACUAAAAAAAAUAGUUUCUAUAUAGAAAUUAUGAUGAAAUACAAUGUGUAAAAAUGAAAGAUAUUUGUCAUAAUUUUGAUAUAAAGUAUGAAGAAACGACAAAAUCACUGAGAAAUAAAAAAAAUUUCUCAACUUUAUUUUCUAUAAAAACUAGCCUAUGGAUUUCGGGUUAGAAAAGCAGCUCACCAGUUC
rnacentral:lncRNA from 1 species